AGCAGUGGUGUGGUCUACAUGCCAUGCAGUGUGCUGCACUUGGAACCUCGCCAAAGCAGUCUGAACUGCGGACCC